rnacentral:ncRNA from 2 species
UUGACAUUUCGCAUCGUGGGCGAUCGCUCCGCCGUCGCGGCGGAGCGGUUGAAAAGGGAAGGGGGUGAGAAACCCCCGCUGCCCCGCAACUGUGAGCGGUACCGAAAGCCGGAGAAUCCCACUGGGAGCCUGAGGCUCCUGGGAAGGGCCGGCGAGUAGACAGCCGCGAGCCAGGAAACCUGCCCGCGAUGAUGUCGUGAC